rnacentral:ncRNA from 1 species
UAGAACAAAAACUCGGUAAGUUUUUCUGCUUUGGGGCAGAAAAUCAAAAGGGAAGCGGGUGAAAAUCCCGCGCGGUCCCGCCGCCGUAAAAGCCGAGCUGUUUCCAUUGUUCCACUGGGCAACCGGGAAGGAGGAAACCGCGAAGACGCUUGAGCCGGAAGACCUGCUUGCCGCAGCAGCGCACAA